rnacentral:rRNA from 1 species
ACGUAAGAAUUUGCCUUUAGGAGGGGGAUAACAACUGGAAACGGUUGCUAAUACCCCAUAUGCUUUUUAGUGAAAUGGAUUUUUCCGCCUAGAGAGAAGCUUGCGCCUGAUUAGCUUGUUGGUGAGGUAAUGGCUCACCAAGGCGACGAUCAGUAUCUGGUUUGAGAGGACGAUCAGACACACUGGAACUGAGACACGGUCCAGACUCCUACGGGAGGCAGCAGUGGGGAAUUUUGCACAAUGGGCGCAAGCCUGAUGCAGCCAUACCGCGUGUGUGAAGAAGGCUUUCGGGUUGUAAAG